rnacentral:rRNA from 1 species
AAAUUGAAGAGUUUGAUCAUGGCUCAGAUUGAACGCUGGCGGCAGGCCUAACACAUGCAAGUCGAACGGUAGCACAGAGAGCUUGCUCUCGGGUGACGAGUGGCGGACGGGUGAGUAAUGUCUGGGAAACUGCCUGAUGGAGGGGGAUAACUACUGGAAACGGUGGCUAAUACCGCAUAAUGUCGCAAGACCAAAGAGGGGGACCUUCGGGCCUCUUGCCAUCAGAUGUGCCCAGAUGGGAUUAGCUAGUUGGUGAGGUAACGGCUCACCAAGGCGACGAUCCCUAGCUGGUCUGAGAGGAUGACCAGCCACACUGGAACUGAGACACGGUCCAGACUCCUACGGGAGGCAGCAGUGGGGAAUAUUGCACAAUGGGCGCAAGCCUGAUGCAGCCAUGCCGCGUGUAUGAAGAAGGCCUUCGGGUUGUAAAGUACUUUCAGCGGGGAGGAAGGUGUUGUGGUUAAUAACCUCAGCAAUUGACGUUACCCGCAGAAGAAGCACCGGCUAACUCCGUGCCAGCAGCCGC